UACCGGAUAGGAGCGUCCACCGCACGGUGGGUGUUGGAAAGAUUUAUCGGUUUUGGAUGGACUCGCGGCCUAUCAGCUUGUUGGUGAGGUAAUGGCUCACCAAGGCGACGACGGGUAGCCGGCCUGAGAGGGUGACCGGCCACACUGGGACUGAGACACGGCCCAGACUCCUACGGGAGGCAGCAGUGGGGAAUAUUGCACAAUGGGCGAAAGCCUGAUGCAGCGACGCCGCGUGAGGGAUGACGGCCUUCGGGUUGUAAACCUCUUUCAGUAGGGAAGAAGCGAAAGUGACGGUACCUGCAGAAGAAGCACCGGCUAACUACGUGCCAGCAGCCGCGGUAAUACGUAGGGUGCGAGCGUUAUCCGGAAUUAUUGGGCGUAAAGAGCUCGUAGGCGGUUUGUCGCGUCUGUCGUGAAAGUCCGGGGCUUAACCCCGGAUCUGCGGUGGGUACGGGCAGACUAGAGUGCAGUAGGGGAGACUGGAAUUCCUGGUGUAGCGGUGGAAUGCGCAGAUAUCAGGAGGAACACCGAUGGCGAAGGCAGGUCUCUGGGCUGUAACUGACGCUGAGGAGCGAAAGCAUGGGGAGCGAACAGGAUUAGAUACCCUGGUAGUCCAUGCCGUAAACGUUGGGCACUAGGUGUGGGGACCAUUCCACGGUUUCCGCGCCGCAGCUAACGCAUUAAGUGCCCCGCCUGGGGAGUACGGCCGCAAGGCUAAAACUCAAAGGAAUUGACGGGGGCCCGCACAAGCGGCGGAGCAUGCGGAUUAAUUCGAUGCAACGCGAAGAACCUUACCAAGGCUUGACAUGUUCUCGAUCGCCGUAGAGAUACGGUUUCCCCUUUGGGGCGGGUUCACAGGUGGUGCAUGGUUGUCGUCAGCUCGUGUCGUGAGAUGUUGGGUUAAGUCCCGCAACGAGCGCAACCCUCGUUCCAUGUUGCCAGCACGUCGUGGUGGGGACUCAUGGGAGACUGCCGGGGUCAACUCGGAGGAAGGUGAGGACGACGUCAAAUCAUCAUGCCCCUUAUGUCUUGGGCUUCACGCAUGCUACAAUGGCCGGUACAAUGGGUUGCGAUACUGGGAAGGUGGAACUAAUCCCAAAAAGCCGGUCUCAGUUCGGAUUGGGGUCUGCAACUCGACCCCAUGAAGUCGGAGUCGCUAGUAAUCG
rnacentral:rRNA from 1 species